rnacentral:lncRNA from 11 species
CCAGGUGUUUUGGACUUUAACUCCCACAAUUCCUAACAGCCAGUAAGCUGUUAGGAAUUGUGUGAGUUGAAGUCCAAACACCUGGAGGGCCCAGGUUUGUCCAUGCCUGUUCUAGGGCCACACAUCCAGCCUACUUAUCUAUAUGAAAGGAAUGUUUUUGGGGCCCUGGUGGUGCCAAGGGAGGGGGUUGAAGUGGAAGACCUCAGCGAGGAGGGAGGAAGGGGCCUGGGGGGGGGGGAGAGAGACCUGCCCCUUUCCUGCAGGGCUGCCAUGGCACGCUCCGGCCACCAGGAGGCGUGCUUCCCCAAUCACGGCAUAGCGGUUCUGCGCCUGGGCCCGGCCUCCUGUUGACCCUCGUGGUGCCCAGAGGCCACUUGCCUUUCCCCCAAAAGACAGCCCAGUGCUGCAGGCAGAGCAGAGGCAAAAGGCAGCGGCCACAUCCGGAGCAGAGGAGACUCCAGAGCAGCUGAAGGGAGGGCGGAAACAGCGCCCUGGGAUGCCCUCAGGCGCCCGCAUGCCCCACCAAGGGGCUCCCAUGGGCCCCCCCGGCCCCCCCUACGUGGGGAGCCCCUCCGUGCGCCCCGGGAUGCCCCCGGCCGUGAUGGAGCCCACCCGCAAGAGGGCCGCCCCCCAGCAGGGCCAGCAGCAGCCAGGGCAGCAGCAGCCGGGACAGGCGCCGGGCCAGGCGCCGCCAGGGACACAGCAAGCCCAGGGCCCGCCAGGGUCAACCGGGCAGCAGGGCGGAGCCAGCCAGAACCGGCCCCGGAGUGCCAAGCGGAGGAAAAUGGCGGACAAGAUCCUCCCUCAGAGGGUGAGUGGCUUCUUCUCCACCCGGCGUCCUUCUGCCCUUCCUUCCUUCCCGCCUCCCUCUCCC